UACGUAGGGUGCGAGCGUUGUCCGGAAUUACUGGGCGUAAAGAGCUCGUAGGCGGUUUGUCGCGUCGUCCGUGAAAACUUGGGGCUCAACCCCAAGCUUGCGGGCGAUACGGGCAGACUUGAGUACUGCAGGGGAGACUGGAAUUCCUGGUGUAGCGGUGAAAUGCGCAGAUAUCAGGAGGAACACCGGUGGCGAAGGCGGGUCUCUGGACGGUACUGACGCUGAGACGCGAAAGCGUGGGAGCGAACAGG
rnacentral:rRNA from 1 species